rnacentral:lncRNA from 1 species
GUAUUCUUCUACAAAGACCUCGUGUUAUUCUGAAUCUCAGCAGUACGCUGACGUCACGAUUGACACCGCUGGUCAGAAACAUUGACUACGCUCUUGACUGGGUUCACAUGGAAGCUGGACGAGCCAUAUACAGGUAUACUGUUGUGAAAAUAGCUGUGUUUAUAGCUAUAUUAACUAUCAGUUCUAAACUGUUCUCCAUGGAGGUCCAGUAUAAGGAUCUUCUCUUAGAAGUCAUCUCUUACUGGUAGGAGUCAUCUCUUACUGAUUCAGUGUUACUAGAAAAGAAGAAACUUAAACUGAACUGACUUUUUUAUAUUGGACAGUUCUGUCAAUUCUAAACUGUUUUUUCUAUAGGUCCGGUAUAGGAUCAUCUCUCAUUGAUCCAGUGUUACUACCGGAGGAAACCUACACUAAACUAACUUUAUUUAUACUGGAUAGCUCUAUCAGUUCUAAACUGUUUUCCCUAGAGGUCCAGUAAGGAUCAUCUCUUAUUAAUCCAGUGUUACUACAGGAAGAAACUUGAACUAACUUUAUUUAUACUGGAUAGCUCUAUCAGUUCUAAAUUGUUCUCCCUAGAAGUCCAGUAAGGAUCAUCUCUUAUUAAUACAGUGUUACUACAGGAAGAAACCUAAACUAACUUUAUUUAUACUGGAUGGCUCUAUCAGUUCUAAACUGUUCUUCCUAGAUGUCCAGUAAGGAUCAUCUCUUAUUAAUCCAGUGUUACUACAGGAAGAAACUUAAACUAAACUAACUUUAUUUAUACUGGAUAGCUCUAUCAGUUCUAAACUGUUCUUCCUAGAUGUCCAGUAAGGAUCAUCUCUUAUUAAUCCAGUGUUACUACAGGAAGAAACUUGAACUAACUUUAUUUAUACUGGAUAGCUCUAUCAGUUCUAAAUUGUUCUCCCUAGAAGUCCAGUAAGGAUCAUCUCUUAUUAAUACAGUGUUACUACAGGAAGAAACCUAAACUAACUUUAUUUAUACUGGAUGGCUCUAUCAGUUCUAAACUGUUCUUCCUAGAUGUCCAGUAAGGAUCAUCUCUUAUUAAUCCAGUGUUACUACAGGAAGAAACUUAAACUGAACUAACUUUAUUUAUACUGGAUAGCUCUAUCAGUUCUAAACUGUUCUCCAUGGAGGUCCAGUAAGGAUAAUCUCUUAUUGAUUCAGUGUUACUACAGGAGGAAACCUAAACUAAACUAACUUUAUUUAUACUGGAUAGCUCUAUCAGUUCUAAAUUGUUCUCCCUAGAAGUCCAGUAAGGAUCAUCUCUUAUUAAUACAGUGUUACUACAGGAAGAAAUUUAAACUAAACUAACUUUAUUUAUACUGGAUAGCUCUAUCAGUUCUAAACUGUUCUUCCUAGAGGUCCAGUAAGGAUCAUCUCUUAUUAACCCAGUGUUACUACAGGAAGAAACUUGAACUAACUUUAUUUAUACUGGAUAGACACAUGCAUAAACCAUGCAUUGUAAACCAAAACCCUUCACAGGCCCAAGAACAGGAUACUGUGACGUCUUUGGGAAUAUAAACCUAUAUAAUUACAGAGUCUCUGCAUGCAUGGGAGCACUCUCUCAUAUAUAGUUGUUUUACUGUUUUUCCCAGACAAGGCGACGAGUCAGAUUGUCUAUAUAUUGUUCUCAAUGGUCGUCUGAGAUCUGUUGUCACUCAAAAUAAGAAAAAAGAACUGGUCGGUGAACAUGGCCGAGGGGAAUU